rnacentral:rRNA from 1 species
CACCUCUAGCAUUACUAGUAUUAGAGGCACUGCCUGCCCAGUGACACGAGUUAAACGGCCGCGGUAUUCUGACCGUGCAAAGGUAGCAUAAUCAUUUGUUCUAUAAAUAAGGACUUGUAUGAAUGGCCACACGAGGGUUCUACUGUCUCUUACUUCCAAUCGGUGAAAUUGACCUUCCCGUGAAGAGGCGGGAAUAUAACAAUAAGACGAGAAGACCCUAUGGAGCUUUAAUUAACUAACCCAAUAGAAUUUAUUCAAUUAACCAAUAUGGGACAAAGUAAUUCUACAGUGGGACAGCAAUUUAGGUUGGGGCGACCUCG